ACGCACAUAUCCUACCUUGAGUAUUUUAUUUGAUGCCAAAAUGCUUCUUUAAAUUUUAUUCUAUUUUAUUUUAUUUAGAGACAAGGUCUCUAAAAAAUAUGUUUCCUGGGCUGGGGUGCACUGGCUAUUCACAGACAUGAUCAUAGCUCACUGCAGUCUUGAACUCCUGGGUUCAAGCUAUCCUCCCAAGGAGCUGAGACUACAGACACGCACCACCAUGCCCGAUUCAAAGUGCCUCUCAUAUCCACAGGGAAGAAAUGCUGAGUUAUCCAUAAACUUCAAAGCCUGAGCAUGGCUGUGGGAGGCAGCUAAUAGACAACUCUGCAAAGAAUGGGAAUCAUUUUGAAAAGAAGCGUGGAGCUUUCACAAAAGAGAAGAGAGCUAGAGCAAUAAACAAUUUCUAUCUACACAAAGAGGAGCAGACACGUUCCUGUCUUGGACCCUUUAUUUUGGACUCCGGUUGGUCUGAAUUGAAACUGCCUUUUAGUUGGGAGCUACAGAAAGGCUGGGACCUUGAGAUCACAAUGGAUGCUUGUUACACGUGAGAUGAAAGUUUGAGGAGGAGUGUACAUCAAAAGAUGCUGCGUUGAUGACGUCAGAAAUUAUAUGCUGAGAGAGCCUGUUGCAGUGAAGAAGGUGGGGUUUGCCUCCCGCAGGUGAGGCCCUGCUCCAGCCCCAUGCCCAGUAUUACCAUGGCACUCACAAAAACACCAUUUAUCCUAUUCUUUGUUUUUUGCUGCCUGGGAACUCCUCGAAGGCAGGAUCUUGUUGAUGAUGUUUGUAUCAGCAGCACCUGGCAGAGUGCCUGGGCCCAAAAGUAGACUCCCAAAAAAUGUUUGCUGAAUUUAAUGACAACAUCUUGCAGGUUCUGUGACCACCAUGACAUCCGGUGCCCUGCUGCUUAAUAAAGCAGUUCCGAAUGACUUCUGGAGAAUAGUAAAUGUGUCCCUAAACAUAGGAUAUAAUUUUACCUAAAAAUUUCAUAUACAUGUUGUGAGAUAAAUUGUGUUCCCCCAAAAAAGAUAUGUUCAACUCCUAAGCUAGUACCUAUGAAUGUGAUCUUAUUGGGAAAUAGGGUCAUUACAGAUGUAAGCAAGUUAAGAUGCUCAGUAUGGUGGACCCUAAACCCAAUAUGACUGGUGAGCUGAUAAGCAAAGGAGACAUAGAUAGGCACUCAGAGAGAAUACCAUAUGACAACAGAAGCAGAGAUUGGAGUGACACGGAUACAAGUCAUGGAACACCAAGGAUUGCCAGCAAUUCCAGAAACUGAAAGAAGGACAUGGGACAGAUUCUGCCCAAGAGCCGUCACGGAGACAGCAUGGCCCUGCUGACAUUGAUUUUGGACUUCCAGCCUCCAGAGCUGUGACAGAAUAAGGUAAUGUUGUUUAAAGUCACCUGCCUUGUGGUACUUCCGUAUAGCAGCCCUAGAAACUAAUACACACUAUGUUAAGAUUAUUUUGGUGCUACAUUUUAAUGAUUUUUAAAAACUAUGAUUAGGGCCACGCACAGUGGCUCAUGCCUGUAAUCCCAGCACUUGGGAGGCCAAAGCAGGUGGAUCACUUGAUGUCAGGAGUUUGAGGCCUGCCUAGCCAACAUGGUGAAACCUCGUCUCUACUAAAAAUACAAAAAUUAGCUGGAUGUAGUGGCUGCAUACCUAUAGUUCCAGCUCCUUGGGAGGCUGAGGCAGGAGAAUCGCUUGAACCUGGGAGGCAGAGGUUUCAGUGACCCAAGAUCUCACCACUGCACUCCAGCCUGGAUGACAGAGAGAAACUCCGUCUCAAAUUAAUUAAUUAAUUAAUUAAUAAAAUAAAAUAAAAACUAUGAUUAGGAGCUUUCUGUGACUCUCCUUUUCCCACCCCUCCCUACUAUCUGAGAGUUGAUGACAUUUUCUGUUUUAUUUCUUCCGUGUUUAAUUGUAUAGUCUCUGAGAACUAGAUUUGAUCUCAAGGACAGGAAAAUGAAAAGGAACUCAUCAUGACUUCUGGGAUGGUUAAUAUUAAGUGUCAACUUGAUUGGAUUGAAGGAUGAAAAGUGUUGUUUGUGGGUGUAUCUGGGUGUUGCCAGAAGAGAUUAACUUUUGAGUUGGUGGGCUAGGAGAAGACCCACCCUCAGGAAGACCCACCCACAGUGUGGGCGGGCAUCAUCCAAUCGGCCCCAGCUUGGCUGGAAAAAGCUGGCAGAAGAAAGUGGAAGGAGCUGACUGGCUGAGUCUUCCAGCUUUCAUCCUUCUCCUAUGCUGGAUGCUUCCUGCCCUGGAACAUCAGACUCCAAGUUCUUCGGCUUUUGGACUCUUGGACUUACACCAGUGGACUUACACCACUGAAGGCCCGAGAGCCCCUGUCAACUUCCCCUGUCAACUUUGAGGGUUGGGGACUCAGACUGAACCACUACUGGCUUCCUUGCUCCUCAGCUUGCAGACGGCCUGCCGUGGGACUUCACCUGGUGACUGUGUGAGUCAGUUCUCCUUAAUAAACUCCCUUUCCUAUAUACAUCUAUCCUAUUAGUUCUUUCCCUCUAGAGAACCCUUACUAAUACAACAUCCAACUUCAAAUUGCUUUUUUUCAACCAUAAACCUUGACUGGAGGUCAACCAAGUAUUGGGUACUGUUCCAGGCACUUUAAUUAAAAAGAUAAAGUAAGGCACAGUUCUUGUCCUGAAAAAUAUCUGAUUCUUAGGCUGAAAACAGACACACAGUCCCAAAACACUGUGAUGAAUGCUUUAAAGGGGUUUUUAGACUUCAGGUACACCAG
rnacentral:lncRNA from 10 species